CAAUGUGCUGAUAGAUAACUACCUAAGGUCUACACAAAUCCAUGAACAACUAGAACUUAGGUCAAAGCUCAAAGGAAAGAUCCAAUCAUAUCCUCUAAAUAAGAAUAUCUACUUCAAUUGAUAGGGUAAUAAACAAAACGCUUUGGUACCUAUGGAUAGAAAAGAAAUUUGAUUCUAUUACUAAUAAGAGAAGCCAAUUUGAGUUUUACCUGUAACUCUGUAAGCUACACUUUGACUAAUGUUUCUAAGUCUGAAGAAUUAUAAUGUCAUUUAUACCACAAGAAAUUAUUUUGCUAUACUAGAAAUUAUUCAGGUGAGAAUGGGUUGUUUUAAAUAACAUUAUAGUUGUCAUCUAGUUGUAUAUGAGUUGUACAUGGCUUAGUAGCCUAUAAAUAGAGCCACUGCCCUCUAUUUUCAUAACUCACUUUUGUUUGCUACCCUAUCAAUAAAAUUAUAUGUUCUUAUUUAGAUUUUUCCUUUGAGCUUUGGACUUGGCUUUUGUUGUCCAUGGGUUUGGGCUGUCUGUAGGGUGUUAUCUACCGGCAUGUUAAAGUAGUUCCUUCAACACAUUGUGCUAUGUACGUAUCAGCAUCUUGUAGUUGAUCCUCCAAUAUAAAAGAAAUCUUUGCCAAUAUUAGUAUUUACUAAACAACCUAUAAAUGUUUAUAGUUGUAACAGAGGGAGUAGGUGAAAGAUAUACAUAGUACUUUCAUUGCUACUCUGGUUCUCAUAAUGGUUAUCUAAUGGUAAAUGUUUACGACUCAAAUAACUUCUUCAAAUCAAGAAAGAGUGGGACAUCUUUUAUUUCGUAGUAAGCAACUCUAUUGACAAGUUGAAGAUAGCGUAAAAUUGUAAAAACUACGUAUUGUAGUUAAUUAGCUAUUUUAUGAUUUCAUUCUUCUAUGUAUUCUGUAGUGGACCCAGGUAUCCCUUAUGAUGUAGUUGUAAAAACAGGGUAUUUUAAGAACAGAAAUUACCACGCUGUGGUCGAUAGCUGGCACUUGGUAAGCAGAUAUUUAACUCUAUGUGCUGCACAGAAAAAUAGUCAAUUGAAUUUGAUUUGAUGAAGAAACAUACAAAAUUUUCUUUGAUAUUGGCCUUUAUUCGGUAUUUUGAACCCAUGCAACUGAAAAGUUUCAGUGGUAAUAAUAAGUGAUCGUUUCUUAUCGUGCUCUUUUGUACUACCAGGUAAUCUUCGAAGGUGUCUACACUUUGCAUCCUUCUAUAAGGAAAUCACUGGAUUUAUGGAUUGCAGUUCUAAGAUUUUAUUACUCAAAUCUUGAAAAAACUAUUAGUCCGGUUGGAUUUUUUUUUCCUAAAUCAUAACUAUCUCCCUUGAAAUGUAUUGUAUCUUGUCAUAUUAGGAUGGUGGAGUACAUUCACAUCUUACUGCAAGAAUACAGGGAGACAAGAAUCGUGCCGGCUUUUCUAUUUCUCAGAGUGAAAUUAUGACUACUGUAUUUCCUCUAUUUCAGCAAUACACAGAACCACAUCUUAUUGAUGCUCAUGUUGCUUAAGAUUCAAAAUGACUUUGACCCUGUGCUCUCUCCUGAAAGCUCCCUCCCUGUUCGUACUAAAAAGUUUCUUACCAAGACAUACUGAAAGUAGUCGAUGCUACUAAAGUCUGCAGCUCUGUCCAGAAUUUCACAGAUGUAUAUCUUAGACUUCCUGGCAUACCGUUGAGUGGACAGCUGACAGAAGGCAAGUGUAUUAGGGUCAGAAUAUGUGAAGGAAGAUUUGCACUUCUAAUACGAGUGGUUUGUUUACCUUUUGCAUCCCAUUUAUCUUUGUGUUUUCAUGAUACAGUCAAUGAUAAACUACUUUUUUCCAUUGUUCAUUUAAUGGUAGCCUAUAAGGGAAGGAAAUUUUAUUAUCCAGCCAAAGGUUGAUUUUGAUAUUAGUGCCAGCACUGUUGCAGGACUACUUAAGCUUGGGUAAGUGAUAUGCUUUAUGACACUACUUAUUAAUUUAGCUGACAUUAUACAUGGGUUGUAAUGAGGUUGUAUGUUUUAUCUAUGCUAGUCCCUCCCAUUUUUUUUGUUUGACAUUGGCUAGUUCAAAAUGAACUAGCAUCCUGUUGAUAGGUCCUUCCAACAUACUGACUUCACUCAGUCUGGAUUUAGGAAUGGAUUAUGCCUGAUGGUUUAUCAUGAUUGAUUCUUGCUAAAAUCAUACUAAAUCAUGCGGAAGCACAUCGCCUGAUAAAUACUAGUUAGCAUGGACUCCCAUCCACCAAAAGUUUCUCCUGGCACCAUCAAUCUGAAUUUGAGAGUGGAACUCAUUAAUUGACUUCUGAAGCAUUGGAUUAGCAAACUAUCAUCAAUAUUAUUUUCAACUCAUGGUUCUCUGUUCAUAAGAACAACCUAAUGGAGAUUCAUGUAUCCCAACUAUAAUUCUAAUGAAUAAGCACCAAGAAGGCAAGAACACCACAUACCAGAGCAGAAAGCAUUGCAUUUUCUCCUAAAAAUAGUUGCAUUAGUGUCUGAUCAUGAUGGCAUAACUUUACAGAAGUAAUUUUAUGGUUGAUGAUGCUUCACCUCCCCUAACAUUGGACCUUAUCCCUCCUGUUAACUUCUCACUGAGUUCAAAUAUUUUUUCAUGUCUUCUUGUGGGCUACUCUAUCAUGAUACUUAAGUGAUUGCAAAGAGGAUACAUAGUUGGAUAAGUAGGAACUAGUAACCAGUUACAUAUAAAUGCCUAGCAACUUUACAUAACAUAGCUUGUGUUUCGACUAAUGUUUGGGCGACACCCGAAGAAACAUCAAACUUAGGUAUGAUUGUAGAUUAGUCAUUAAUGACUUUUCUGUUGAUGCUCCGAAAGAUAACUUUGAUCAAUGUGAUUGGUUAUUUGCAGCUCUAGGGCAUUUCUUCAAAUUUCCUCAUAUAUCUUCAUUUUCUAAUAGUUACCGAGCUGUGGCUUAUAUUGAAGCUUCUGCAAUGAUUUACCAAGAUGGAAAGAUUCUUAUAGAGGCUGACCAAUUUACAAGGUGAGAUAAAUCCGUAUCUUCAUAUUAAAGGAACCAACAAGGAAAUAGUUUCCUCUGCUGCAUCUGCUCGCUUAGACGGUUCAUACAGGACAAAGGUCUUCUAGAAAAUCCUAGCUAGUAAAAAACUAAAAAUUGAAUAUGCACACAUGUUUUGUGUGUACUUAUUUUCAUGAUUUUAUUCUGCUCUGGAAAGCUAUCUUCAAAUUAUUCUGGAGAGUUUGCCAGCGGAUGAAAAUGUUCGUACUGUUAUUCAUAACCAACAAGCUGCUAGGCUACAAGAACUUGUCGAGUUUAUCUAGUCACAAGUAUGUUAACUUCAAACAAGUUGUAAAUCAUUUAUGCAUCAUACUACUGUUGCAUUAUGGGAUCUUUUUAUAAGUAUUUGAUUUUACAACUGUUCACAC